GACGAACGCUGGCGGCGUGCUUAACACAUGCAAGUCGAACGGAGCUUAUGGAGAGCUUGCUCGAAGUAAGCUUAGUGGCGAACGGGUGAGUAACGCGUGAGCAACCUGUCUCAUACAGGGGGAUAACACUUGGAAACAGGUGCUAAUACCGCAUAAGACCACAGUGCCGCAUGACACAGGGGUCAAAGAAAUUCGGUAUGAGGUGGGCUCGCGUCUGAUUAGAUAGUUGGUGAGGUAGCGGCUCACCAAGUCGACGAUCAGUAGCCGACCUGAGAGGGUGAUCGGCCACAUUGGAACUGAGAUACGGUCCAAACUCCUACGGGAGGCAGCAGUGGGGAAUAUUGGGCAAUGGGGGAAACCCUGAUGCAGCGACGCCGCGUGAGUGAAGAAGUAUUUCGGUAUGUAAAGCUCUAUCAGCAAGGAAGAAAAUGACGGUACUUGACUAAGAAGCCCCGGCUAACUACGUGCCAGCAGCCGCGGU
rnacentral:rRNA from 1 species